UAAAAAUGUAAAUAGGCAAUACUUGCCAGCUAAAAGAUUGACAUUGCCAUAUUUUUUAAUUCCACUAUAAAAUAGCUAUACUAAUAUGAGACAAAAUGCCUUUUAAAAUGAAAGUGUUGCUUUCCUGCUCCCAACAUGGCAGCCUCAGCAAAAAAGAAGAAUAAGAAGGGAAAAACUAUCUCCCUAACAGACUUUCUGGCUGAGGAUGGGACUGGUGGAGGAAGCACCUUUGUUUUCAAACCAGUCAGCUGGGCUGAUGAAACAGAUGACCUGGAAGGAGGUGUUUCAACAACUUGGCACAGUAAUGAUAACAAUGUGUACAGGGCGCCUGCAAUUGACCGUUCAAUCCUUCCCACUGCUCCACGGGCUGCUCGGGAACCCAAUAUCGACUGCAGCCUUCUUCCCAAAUCGCCCCCCUACACUGCUUUUCUACGGAACCUACCCUAUGAUGUGACAGAAGAGUCAAUUAAGGAAUUCUUUAGAGGAUUAAGUAUCAGGGCAGUGCGUUUACCACGUGAACCCAGCAAUCCAGAGAGGUUGAAAGGUUUUGGUCAUGUUGAAUUUGAGGACCUGGAUUCCCUGCUCAGUGCCCUGAGUCUCAGUGAAGAGUCUCUAGGUAACAGGAGAAUUGGAGUGGACGUUGCUGAUCAAGCACAGGAUAAAGACAGGGACGAUCAUUCUUUUGGCCGUGAUAGAAAUCGGGAUUCUGACAAAACAGAUACAGACUGGAGGGCUCGUUCUGCCACAGACAGCUUUGAUGACCACCCGCCUAGAAGGGGUGAUGAUAGCUUUGGAGACAAGUUUCGAGAUCGUUAUGAUUCAGACCGGUAUGGCAAUGGGUAUUGGGAUGAGUAUCCGGAUGGCCCAUGCCAGGAUAUGGAUCGAUAUGGCGGUAGGGAUCGCUAUGAUGACCGAGGCAGCAGAGACUAUGCUAGAGGCUAUGAUUGCUGGAUAGGCAGUGGCAGAGGGCAUUUGGCAGUGGGUACCGCAGGGACGAUGACUACAGAGGAAGCAGGGAGCGCUAUGAAGACCGAUACAACAGACGGGAUGAUGGGUCGUGCAGCUCCAGAGAUAAUUACUCUCAGGAUGAUUAUAGGUGUGAUGAUAGACGGUCCCCACCCAAAGACCCAAACUGAAUCUAAAGACUCAUAAUACUCCUAAGGGAGAUGAUUCUUCUGCUAGUACCUCACAUUCCAGUCGAGCUGCUUCUGUCUUUGGAGGGGCAAAGCCCGUUGAUACAGCUGCUAGAGAAAGAGAAGUGGAAGAACAGCUACAGAAGGAACAAGAGAAGUUGCAGUGUCAGUUGAAUGAGCCAAAACUAGAACGACGGCCUCGGGAGAGAGACACUCAAGCUGGCGAAGUGAAGAAACUCAGGAACCAGAACGGUCGAGGACAGGAAGUGAGUCAUCGCAGACUGGGACCUCCGCCACACCCGGCAGAAGUCAGUCAGACCAGGAUGCAGGAAGAAGAGAGGGUGAGGAGUCUCUAGAAAAUGAAACACUCAAUAAGAAGAAAGAUUGUCACUCUCCAACUUCUAAAUCUCCCAAACCUGAUCAGCCCCUAAAGGUAAUGCCAGCCCCUCCACCAAAGGAGAAUGCUUGGGUGAAGUGAGGUUCUAACCCUCCUGCCCCAUCUCAGAGCUCAGACACAGAGCACCAACACCCUACAAGUGGUGGGGGAAAGGUAACUCCAGCUCAACCGUCUGAGGAAAGACCAGCAAGGAAAGAUGAAAUAAAGUAGGUGGGAUGAAUGUCCCAAAAGACCACACUGGGAACUCUAGCUGUGGUCCAGGAGACCCAGGAAACAAAGACCACGGGAAGGAGUCAGAUAGGAAAGACGGCAAAAAGGAUCAAGACUCCAGAUCUGCACCUGAGCCAAAGAAACCUGAGGAAAACCCAGCUUCCAAAUUCAGUUCUGCAAGCAGGUACUCUGCUCUCUCCGUUGAUGGUGAAGAUGAAAACAAGGGAGAAGAUUACACCGAAUAAACCUUGACAUCCUGUGCUUUCUCCUAUUUUCUCUCCACCCUGGAACAUUUGAGAGCAAAUUAAACCUCUAUGCAGACAAGACAAAGUAAAACUCAUCAUCUCCUGGAGACCUUUCUUGCCUUUAAAAAAAAAAAAAUGAAAUUCUUUCGCAUGCUUCUGCAGCCUUUAAAGUGUUGAAGUUAACUGGAGAAUCACCAGCAUAGCCAGAGAGAAAGAGACUACAGCUUUUUAGUGGAAAAGUUGUUGUGCGUGGUGUCACCAUACAGUUGCCAGUGUGAUUAGUGCCUAGGGGUCUCCAUUUAGCAGAAAUGAUAAUGACAGUGAUAUAGCAUCUGGAAUCUGGUUGGGCAGUAGGGGAGGAAGGUAUAAGGAAAAAUGUGAGAUUUCUACCUUUCCGUUUUCAUCCUAUUGUGGCAUAUGUGAUUUCUCUAACAUUAUCUGAAUAAAUUUUCCCCUCUUGGAAAGGUAGAUUUAGCCUCAAGCUGUUUUAAUCUUCAGGAGGCUGCCAGCCCCUCCUCUUAUUUAAUUCUGAGUUUUGGGGGCCAGCCUAGGGGGAAUUCCUUCAUUUUCUUUUUACCCCCCAGCGGGGUAGUUGGGAGUGAGUCUACAAGCCAUAAAGAAUAGGACUGCAUUGGACUAAAAUAAAUGGGAAAAUCAUGGUUUGAAAAGAAGCUUUGGGGAGGUGAUGAGUCAUUUUGCACCAGGCAAUAGGGGAAAAUUGUGACCUCCAGCAAACACAUGAAUGGUUAUUUCCCGGAGCCGGAAGCACUUGGGGGUCGUGGUAACUCCCAAUGUUUUGUGUGUCCUGGUUUUACCCUUUCUAAACACUGUGUUUUUUGAAAGUUCAAAUAUAUCCACAUUCUGUUGAAACCUUGAAACUUUAAAAAUUUAGACUCUUGUUGUCAUCUUAAGUUCUUCAUGCUACUCUUAACCUCCCAAAAAGCAGUCUCUAGGUCACAUAGAUGACCUCUUGGGCAUUUUCUCUCUCAGCCAUGGAGAGCUGUGAAAGGAAGAAUCGCUGCUUUUCUCAAGCAAAUCAGUUUCUUGAUGUCUUUUGGUUCUCACUCCUUGCCUGCUCCUGACGCUUUGACCCCUUUUGUAGAUCAGAGUGCUCUAGAAUAAUGGAUGGUCUUGGUGGUGAAUAAAGGUAGAUAAAUAGGGACUGGGACAGUUAAAUUGGGAGCCUUUCUUACAACCUUGGUGUGUUUUUUCCCCCAAGUUUCCUUCUCCACUGAAAUGCCACACCAAUGCUUGUUGGAUUUAUGAGGUGGCCAGACCAAUGUGUUGUUUUUUUAUUUUUCUUUUUCUUUUAAGCUUCCCUUGAGAGAAUAAAUGGUAAUGAAGAGAACUAUUUAAAAAGGUCCUGGUUUCUCUUGCAACACAGUAGCUAAACUUGCCUGCUUUUAUAUGCAUUUUUGUAGGGAUCUGCCUCAUAGACAGUAUUAGCAGAGAAAUGACACCUCGAUCUUGGUCUUGAUUUGCAAGCCCUUCUCCCACCAAUCCUAGAUCAGGCCCUGUUCGGCCAUGUAGGGGUGUUGGUUUAUGCGUGCUGCAGCAGUGGGCAUAAUGAACAUAAUUUAGCCACGGACAAAGGUGUGUACCAAGUAAAUUUAAAUAAUUGGUGUGGAUUGGCUAGUAGCUAAGUGGGCUUUUAAAGAAAUACUGAACAAUGAAAGGGUUUUUUUUUUAAAAGAAAAAAAAAUUGAUUGUAGAUAAUGAAAAGCUAGGGUUUGCCUCUUCAUGUCUACUCUCCUUCCAAAUGGUUGUAUCCAAAACUGUUUUUCCCUCUGCCCUACCUUGCCCCCCUGUUAAAAUGGAAACGGGGAUUGAUUAAUGUCCCACUCAUGAAUACAUGUAAAAUUUGUACAAAAAUAUCUUCUAUGAAAAUGACUUACAAUCUGUAGACUUAUUACCUGGGAGAUGUCUUGAGAUAUAAAAUCCCAUCCUUUGGGUUGUGGGUUUUUUGUUUUCUCCAAAUAAAUUUGAUCUUUACAGUUCAAAAAAAAUCAAAAAAUAAAAACAAAAAUAAAAUAAAAGUGUUAAAAAUAGAGACACUAUGUAGUGAUUAAGGUUCAAUGGUUCAAUUCACCAAAAAAGUAUUAUUCUAAGUGUAAAUGUACCUAAUAUUAGCCUCAAAAAUUUUUUUAAGGCCGGG